rnacentral:rRNA from 1 species
GAUGAACGCUGGCGGCGUGCUUAACACAUGCAAGUCGAGCGAAGCACAUAAGUUCGAUUCUUCGGAUGAAGACUUUUGUGACUGAGCGGCGGACGGGUGAGUAACGCGUGGGUAACCUGCCUCAUACAGGGGGAUAACAGCUAGAAAUGGCUGCUAAUACCGCAUAAGACCACAGUACUGCAUGGUACAGUGGUAAAAACUCCGGUGGUAUGAGAUGGACCCGCGUCUGAUUAGGUAGUUGGUGAGGUAACGGCCCACCAAGCCGACGAUCAGUAGCCGACCUGAGAGGGUGACCGGCCACAUUGGGACUGAGACACGGCCCAGACUCCUACGGGAGGCAGCAGUGGGGAAUAUUGCACAAUGGGCGAAAGCCUGAUGCAGCGACGCCGCGUGAAGGAUGAAGUAUUUCGGUAUGUAAACU